rnacentral:rRNA from 1 species
GACAGAGGGUGCAAACGUUGUUCGGAAUUACUGGGCGUAAAGCGUGCGCAGGCGGCCUUGCAAGUCGGGCGUGAAAUCCCACGGCUCAACCGUGGAAGUGCACUCGAAACUGCUUGGCUAGAGUCUUGGAGAGGAAGGCGGAAUGCUUGGUGUAGAGGUGAAAUUCGUAGAUAUCAAGCGGAACACCGGUGGCGAAGGCGGCCUACUGGACAAUGCUGACGCUAAAACACGAAAGCGUGGGGAGCAAACAGG